AUGUUAGAUAGCCAUGCAUGUCUAAGUAUAAAUGAUAUACAGUGAAACUGCGAAUGGCUCAUUAAAACAGUUAUAGUUUAUUUGGUAAUCGAAUUUACAUGGAUAACCGUGGUAAUUCUAGAGCUAAUACAUGCUGUAAAGCCCGACUUCACGGAAGGGCCGUAUUUAUUAGAUAACAGACCAAUAUUCCUCGUGUCUAUUGUGGUGAAUCAUAGUAACUAAUCGGAUCGCAUGGGCUAGUCCCGCGACAAACCAUUCAAGUUUCUGCCCCAUCAGCUUUCGAUGGUAGUGUAUUGGACUACCAUGGCUUUUACGGGUAACGGAGGAUUAGGGUUCGAUUCCGGAGAGGGAGCCUGAGAAACGGCUACCACAUCUAAGGAAGGCAGCAGGCGCGUAAAUUACCCAAUCCUAAUUCAGGGAGGUAGUGACAAGAAAUAACGGGUCGGGGCUAUGCCCCGGGACUGCAAUGAGAUGAAUUUACACCCCUUUUCGAGUAACAA
rnacentral:rRNA from 1 species